rnacentral:lncRNA from 1 species
CAGGAGCCUUAUGUAUGUGGUUGAAACCACCUGUACUACUGGAAUGAAAGCACCUUUACAGAAGAGGCAAUGCAAGUUGUAUUCAUCACAUGUGUAGAAUGAAUUAAGAUUUAUGCCAGUUGCAAAGAAGAAUAUUGGCUCACUAUUUUUCCUCUGGGCAUGUGGAAAUGUAAAUCAGUCCAUGUUACUCACCUCGGAGAAGCAGAAGUACGAUUUACUAUUGUUGCUUGCUUACUUACUCUUAUCAAUUUCUAUGAGAGCUCCCCUCUCCACUGAGGGCUGAUUUCAUCACUCAACAAAAUUCUCCGAAUUCACCAUCCUUCAGUUCAUCCACAUGACCUCAUUCCUCUUGGGCACCGGACAAGAAUUUGGGAUGCACCAAAUGCAGGGGUACAAGCAAUUUUCCAGUCUUGACCCUUUAUCUGUUGACCAAGCUAAGGCAGAAACCAGCUAAAUUCUGGAUUUAAUCUUGAGCAGCAAAAAAGAUCAGCUUUUGAAGUGGAUCUGCUUUUAUUCUUGGCAAAAGUUCAGCGGAGACCAACCAGAGUGGUGACAAAGUUCUUCAACAUCAAGCCAAAUGUAAUACAAGGAAUUACGGAUAGUGCUUAAUCUAAAAUAAAGAAA